AACGAACGCUGGCGGCGCGCCUAAUACAUGCAAGUCGAGCGAGAAGGUGUAGCAAUACACUUGUAAAGCGGCGAACGGGUGAGGAAUGCAUGGGUAACCUACCCUCGAGUGGGGAAUAACUAGCCGAAAGGUUAGCUAAUACCGCAUACGUUUCCGGAACUUCGGUUUCGGAAAGAAAGCAAUACCGUGGGUAUUGCGCUCCUGGAUGGGCUCAUGUCCUAUCAGCUUGUUGGUGAGGUAACGGCUCACCAAGGCUUCGACGGGUAGCUGGUCUGAGAGGACGAUCAGCCACACUGGCACUGCGACACGGGCCAGACUCCUACGGGAGCAGCAGUAAGGAAUAUUGCGCAAUGGACGAAAGUCUGACGCAGCGACGCCGCGUGGGGGAUGAAGGUCUUCGGAUUGUAAACCCCUUUCGGGAGGGAAGAUGGAGUGGGUAACCACUUGGACGGUACCUCCAGAAGCAGCCACGGCUAACUUCGUGCCAGCAGCCGCGGUAA
rnacentral:rRNA from 1 species